AUCACCGAGAGUGAGAGCGUGAAAGAGAGAAGAGAGAUUCAAAGAAGUGCAUGGCGUGUGAAGGAAAGAAAGAGAGGCGGAGAGACCAACAAAGAAUGCUUUCAUGUGUAAUGAAGGAGUAGAUAUCGUUUAGCAAGAAAUAUUGACCCAAUACAGAGGAGUAGCGAGCCUGGUCGAUCAGUUAGGAUAAUACUGAUAUCAAGGUUUAUGUCAUCGGCGUAUCAAGGCAAGUAGCUGCUUUGCUAAACUCCCUGAUCUCGCCUUAUUUGAUUAUUUGAUUAUGUUGCACCUUGAAUCUUAUUGAUCCUCCAUUGAUCCUUGUUUCAAUUGAGAGAGGGACAUGUUGUCCUCGUAAUCCGUUUAUUAAUGGAAUCAAUAUAUUUUUAAGGAACUCAUGAAAAGGCAUGAGCGUAUUGUUUUGACUGAUAUCAGUAAUACCGUCGUUGAUCCAUUCAUAUCAUACUCUAUCCAUUUAUAUUGGUGUCAUGACGACAAACAUAUUGUACCGGUCACAGUUCAUUUGGCUAUAGAUGUACUUCAGUGCAAAUAACAUGCAGAAUAAAGUUUGGUCGCACGUUUUGCAUGGCCAAAGAGAUGGCAUCCUGAAGUUCUUUUCCAUAGCCAAACAAUUUAAUUUUUUCAGAUGGUCUGAAUUCUGCUUGGAGUAAAGUUAAGCUUCAUAAAGUAACUAUUGCUGGCCUUCUAAACUAGAAAAAUAAACAGGACAGAAAUAGUAUAAUGAAUGACUACUAGCCUACUUUCUUGGAAGCUUUUGAUUUUACUGAUAGUGGAGUUUCCUUGGCGUUGACGAGAAGUUUCACUCCUUUUCCUCCCAAAGUCAUUACUAUAACAGUCAUUGACACAUGACGGCAAAGCAGCUCCUUGCAACUCAGCAGCACGUUUAUUUUCACUAGUGGUUGGGACGCGCCCCGGGCGCGUCUCUUGAGGUGGUCCGGGGCGCACUUAUCUUGCUUAUAAUCCUUAAUGACACUUAUGUACAGUUAUCUAAAUAUAGAUGAAUAUGCUAUCUUUGCUUUAGAUACAAACACUUGUUCUGAACUAAUGCAACUGAAUCAGCUAUGAAACUAUACAAGUAACCUGUAAAAUAGAAUAUGACUUCAAAUAUUUCAAACCAACUUUCUUAUAUAGCAUAGAAACUUCAUUGGGAAACAUUUUAACCAAUUAUAUUUAGGGUCAGUAGGCAUCCAUACAUUAAUAAACAUAACAAAAGAAACAUUUAUGUAGGUGAGGUCAUGUUGACCUUCCAUGUAAUUCAAGACAAAAGCAUAUAACGUCAGAUGACAAGAAUAAGAAACAAAUGGAAAGCAAAGACAAUCUGCAUUGGGUCUCCAUCAUGAAUCUAAUUGUCACCCAAAGAUUGCUCUUUCUUUAUUUUAGAUCAGUUUGUAGUACAUCCCACUCCCCACAACAUACUUUGUUUCCAUAUUGGCGAAAAUGUUGGAGCUUGUGAACAAAAAAUAAGCAUUCAGUUCAUUCAGUGGGAACACAAGUACCUUCUAGUAAGAAAAUAUGCUACUCAACAACCAUAUUUCUGUACAAAUUGUAUUAGAAGUACAACUAUAACUAGAAAAUAUCAGUGAUAAUGGAAUACUACCUAUAGUAUGCUUACCACGAAAGCAGACAAAAAUACUUUUGAGGAAAAAUGCCAGUGCUAGAAAUGUUAAACUGAAAUUCGGAAUGGGAGGAGAGAUAAACAAACCUUCCAUAAAUCCCCUCAGAAAUUUCAACAGUAAAGAACUCUACUAAUCUGUAGUGUCACAAUUAACAUUUUAGUCAGCUGUCUGAAUCAGUACAUUACACGAUCAAUUUCUAAUACUACCAUACCUUUUUCUGAAUGGCUCCUGUGAUUUUUGGGAGUGCAAUCAAUGAGAUUAGCUUAACAAGCAUCAUGGUUCAACUUAUGCAACUACCGACAUCUGUUUUAUUGAAACAAAAGAAACUUAGCUUAACUACAUUAUCUCACAAUUUCAUUAGGGACUACAGCAGUAGCAAAAACAUCAUAGUUUAGGCUUUGCAACUAUCAAAAUGUGAUAUCAUGCGGAAAAAGGACAAUAAAUUGUUCGGCUUAGCAUCAUGUUUCAAGUUACACAACUACCAAAAUAUCAGGCUAAGCCAUUGCCUUAUAAUGUCAGGAAAAAGGAUUACAAGAAAGUUCACUCAUUAAUGUGAUUAAGGUCAGAGAAGUUAAUUGUCGUCCGUGUUGGCUUCAUCUGGGGCGCUGUUUUGCUCCUGCGGCACUGGCACUUUAUCCAGUUUCUCUAUGUGGAGUUGUCCAGCUGUACAUACGGCAGCCGCACAUAUGCAUACUUUAAACACACUGGACCUGUGGUCAUCUAUAUAGUGAGUUCAUCUUGCACCCAUGGCAUCCCUGCCUAGUUCUACAUUGUACUCCAGUCCGCAAUGACAUUUAAUAGGAUCAGAAACUCCCUGCAAAGAAAGGUGUUCAGCUUCUUAAUACUCUACAUGGAAUCACUGAAAGUAACGUAUAUGUAUUUCUCCAUGAGAAUUAAAAAAGGAAGUCAAUUAGCUUUAAUCAUGGAGCAACCAAACUGAAGAGUAUCAGCAAAACACCUUCAUUUUAAUGAUUCGUUCGUCAAGAGACUGGAAGUACUCAACUUCUCCAGCUCCAUCACCUAGUAGAGCUUUGUAUUCUGACCCUCCAAGGACUUCGUAUCCAUCUCCUGUACUGCCGCCUGCAGGCACCAGAAUGAAAUAACACACAUUGAGAAUGACUUGAUAAGGAAAUGAUCUUUACAGUUAAGAAACACAUUGAACUUACAGGGAAGCUAGCAGUUGUGUUGCUCUCCUGCUAAAGGGUCCGCUUACACUGCAAAGUAAACAUUUUUUUAGUUUGACUAAAACAACAAUUGCAACUGCCUGGCAGAUCUAGGGCCAUAAGAGUCUCCAGAAUUAGAAUAGUUAGCUGAUUUCUAAGAGGAGACGUGAUCCUUUUGCUUUGAUAUCCAGUUGUUUCUUUCCAACGUCAGAUUCCUGUUUAUUAGUUAGUGAGCGACACAUGACAGGUUGGAUGUUCCUUUGCUAUAGGAGGAGGAUGGGAAGUGUGGGAUACCUUGUCUAUGCUCCCUCCUAAGUUGAGCAUUUCACAUCUCUUCCCUGCAAUAACACAACAGAUCAAUAUUUAGAUGAAGCUAUUAACUACAGUUUCAAACAUGUACAUGGCUAAAUUAUUUUCGACACUGAAAGCAUAUGCAAACUGAGAUAGUCUGCAGCUCCUCAAUCAAUCAACUUUGUUUUUGAAAUAAAAUGAGUGCCAUAUAUCUGAAGGGACAAGUACAGGUAAGAUAGCAGACCAAAAUAUCAAGUAGUUAGUUUCCGAUGAUGCUGGGAUAAAAUAUCAAUCAAAGAACAGAAGCACCAUCCUUUUAGCUUCAAAUACAGCUUUAGAAGAAACUGGUGUGAUGAUCUCAAAUGAUUCUGAGGAGACCCGGCCCUCCAACCUUCAAAUGAGAUCACUGUCAAUGGGUGUGAAAGACCAGAUAAUAAACUAACGAUCUCAUGUACCUUCCAUCAUGCAUUCUAGAACAGAGUAGUCUCCAAGAUGUGACUUCAAUAGUUAUUUUUUAUAACAAUGCAUUAGUCCAAAGAACAAAUAAAUUACAGAAUUAUGAUAGACAUGCACUGCAAAUUAUCAAUGAAUGAAACAUUCAUCUAUAGGAAAAGAACAAGGGACCUUUGUUAGUGUUGAAGAACAACUGGACAUUCUCGUUCCACAUACCGGCGACCAUGGGGCUGCUGCCGCAGAGGCCGAGCUCGUCGGCAAGGAUGACAUGGUAGAGGCUGGGACAUGAAGGAGACGACAAGCAAGCAAGAGCAGAUGGAGAGGAAGGGGAAAAUGUAGAGGCUGGGACAUGAAGGAGAUGACAGGCAAGCAAGAGCGGAUGGAGAGGAAGGGGAAAAUGUAGAGGCUGGGACAUGAAGGAGACGACGGGCAGGCAAGAGCGGAUGGAGAGGAAGGGGAAAAUGUAGAGGCUGGGACAUGAAGGAGACGACGGGCAGGCAAGAGCGGAUGGAGAGGAAGGGGGAAAUGCAGUGAACGUACAAGCAUCAAUCGCAUGAGAGUUCAAUAAGCUCGGAACAGUUGAAGCUCAAAUCCGCAAUGUAACUCGACCACGGUGGUAAGGGGAUAGAGGUAAACUAAUGCUAGAAUUCCUAAAUCAGUAUCUGUUCCGACAAGUUAGGUUUCUUUCAGCGAAUCAACUUGAGUGAGUUCAGGUGUGUGCCACAUAAAGAACCUACAGUUCAGGUUAAGGAAUAGGAACAAUCAGUUACUUCGGUAACUCAUGCAGCUAUAAGGACGAAAAUUGGAAAGCUAAACUGUUGUUACGAUUUACCCUAAUCACAACGAGUACCUGUAUAAAUAGUCAAUCAAUUUAACUUUACUUCAGUUAACUGAAAGUCUGAAACCUCUCUGGUGUGUUUCAGUUAACUGAAAAACAACUCAAGUUCAGGUUUUGUAACAUGGCACAGAUCCUAGAGAUAGAUGCUUCCCAAGCCGGAAGGCAAAAUCUGAUUCUGCAUUGCACGCAAGAACCGAUCCAAUUGAUGUCAACGCUAAUGCCAAUGAUUUGCGGCAGCCAUCGACCCGAUCCAAUCAAUAUGAACAGGCGCGAGCAGCAACCAUGAUGAAUGAAUUCAACACAGAACAAUGGAGGGAGGGAGGGUGGGAGCGAGGGGAGCGAGGGGGAGGAAGGAAAUAGACCUUGGCGCGGGAGGUGCCUAGGGGCACACUGGCGCUGGAGUCGACGGCGGCGACGAGCGCGGCGUCGUUGCAGACUGACUGGCAUCCGAUGCAGCGCCUCCGACCACUAAAUCGUCCCGUCACCACCAGGCCUGGCCAUCGCCCCCACUCCCGGUCCUCCGCAAGAUGGGCAUAAUGACAUAUCAGAAGUGGAUGGGAAGAAGGAUUGAGAAACUGGUUGGUUACUCACCGGCGUCGCCCCUGGGCUCCAGAUCCUUCGAAGAAAUCAGCUGGCCACCCAUCCUGCUCGCCCCCUUUACUCCCAUCCCACUGCAGCCGCAAGUACACCCGGAGGAAGAGGCGGAGGAGAGAAACAAGGAGACGAGCGAAGGUUGCAUGUGAACCUGGGAGGUGAGGGUUUGCUUCUUGGGGAAGAGAAAGCAGUGGAGGCGUUAUCUGGCCGCUGCCCAAUCGACCAUCUUCUAUUUCUCGAUCUGUUUUUUCUCCUCGCCAACCCCUAACACCCGAUCGACCUGAUGACAUGGCACGCGCGAGCGAGUGCCUUUGAUGCACAUGUUAAUGUUUUGGAUGGGGGUACCACUUAGCUUUUUGUAUAUGGAAAUUUGUAACUUCAUUACUGCGUGAAAGUUGAUAAAGCUUACUAGGAAUGAAGUCAGCAAAUGAAAAACAAGAAUAACGUUCAUUAGGUGAGCUACACAUGAUAAGUUGAUAACUAAAGCCCCAGAAAAAUACACUUGCUAAAUAACGCUAAGAACAAGAGUGUAAACAUGUGAAUCAUAAGGAGCCAAGCCUCACAAAGAGAAUCGAAUGUUCUCGACUGGAGAAACUGAUAGAAAAUGCAUCUGACCAGAAUUACAAUCUGAACUCGAAAAUUUAAAGUUCCAGAGUAGUGUUUUGUUCCUAUAGCAUACGAGCAACUGUAACAAGCUCGGACUAUAUCAAACUAUUGAUCUCCAAAAUAAGCAGGAAAUUCAUCUUAUAUUAUAGUAUAAGGUCGUAGAACAGUAGAAUAAGAAGCCCAGUUAAAGAAACAAAAGUCCAGCAAGACAGUGGGCAGUGGCACAUUACAGAAACUAGUAUAACGCCCGUGCGUUGCCACGGGCUCUUCAAAAUUUAUAAUCAGUAUCUUUCAUUUAUCAUCCCCUCAUAUUGGGUGAUUAUGGGGUGCUCUAGUUAGAAACACAACAAUCAAAUAUUAGGAAAUUUCACCGAACGAACAACAACGAAUAAUACGAUAUCUAUCAAACGAAUAAAAUGAGAUCAUAUUUUUGGUCCGUCAUGCACUUCUGUUGAAAAGUGCCUAUCCUUUUUAGAAUCAACCCACUGUUUGCUCGCACGCAAAAAAAAUACAUCUCUAAAGUGGGGAACCGAUCGGUGCCAAAAAGAACUCAAACUCCUAUCCAAUCUCAACUUCGUGCUCUUCCACUUCCAUUGAUAAAGAUGGGACGUCAAGGGUUUCAUCAUGAUGACCUCGAGCAGCCGCCGACAUCCCUCCCCACAUCUACCCCUACCCCCUGCUGCCGCUUGCACUGUCCUUGCUCCUCGAGGGAGCUAGGGACACAAUAUUCUCUAGGAUGGGCAUGACCAGAUCCACGAGGAGGCCACAUUCUUCCAUGGGAACCCAACCAAGCACACCACCCUCCGCAACCAUCCAAUCCCAGUCUAACAAAGUCAAGACCCGCCAUCGAUCCACAAAUCAGGCUCGCCGCAUCCAGGUUCACUGCAAGUCUGCGACGAGUCUGUAGUCGACAUCUUCACUUUGGCUAUCCCCACGGAAGAAUCAUCGGAUCCUGCUUACUUUUACCAUCACUUCGUCUCUUCCCAAGGCAGCGACACCACCCAGCCAAUCACCACCACCGCUUGCGGCUUGCCUACAUAAAAUCAUAUGAGAAAUCCCCAUGGCGGUGCUGUAAGAUCACCUUGGCGACCUCGACAGUGACCGACUGGUCUAAGAUCUAAGCUAGCCGCUCUUUGUAGAAACCAAUAGAAGUAGGCAUGUGACUCAGAUUUGUUCUUUGGUGUGCAUGCGUUUCUUGCUGCCCACCAGCUCUUGUCUACAACUCGCCUAUAUCUGUACCAGCUCUUGGUCUACAACUCGCCUAUCUCCAUGCUCGAGAAUCUGGAGUGUAGUAGUUAAAAAAAGACCAACUUUAUACUCAUUUGAUAAUUCAACGUGCAUGGGCAUGCACCGGAUGGAAUUCACGCUCUAUGUAAAAUCUGGAGUGUAAUGACCGUGGUUGAUGAAUGAAAGUCUUAUUUCCGCAAAAAAAAAGUUAAAGGUGAAUAUAUUCCUCAUGUGUAGAGUACAAACAGAGCAUAUAGUGGUGACCUAGUUUCUUUUGAUUGAGGUGAAUACAUGCCAGUACUAAAAUCUUCUAAUUUCUUUUGAUUGAAUCCAAGUUGUUUCUUUUCUUUCGAUUCAGCAAAGCUAGUUCGAAUAAAUAGGAUUGUCUAUAUCUUAACUCCUUUGCCAAUUAAGCUUCAAAAUUGCAGUCUGAUUCAGAAACAAUCGAACGAUUGUGUCGUUAACUCCAGGAGAUUCUCGUUAGAUCUUAGGAACGCUGCAAGCCAUCAUAUCAUAUAAGAAUAAGAUCGACAAUUGAUAUGGACAGAUCUUACUACAAUCAUAUUACUACUACUCGCACACUGAUAUGGACAGAUCAUACAAGAUCGAAGAUACGUAAGACAAGGUUCUCUAGAUUACGAAAAAUUGUUUGCUUCGCCUCAUGUGAGACGGACCCCGAGCUAUUCUUCAAUGGCGCACCGCGCGCACAUAUUUGGCGGCGAAGUAACUCGUUAUCCUAAGGACGUCCCCGUCAAGCCCGUCGACAGCGUCACCCUUUUCCAUCUCCCCGGCUGGACCUCGCCGAGUUUCCACCGUCGACGGCCUGCCGCCGCCGCAUUCUGCUGCACGAAGGAGAUCAACGACGGUUUAGACGUGCACGGGUGCAGCAGAGCAGAUCGACCGACGGAUCGGUUGACAACACGUACCAUCGCAGGCCGCGUGGCCGUGGUGGGGGGCGGCGGCGCUCAAGGUGCCCUGCGCCUCGCAUUCGCAGGGCGAGACGGCGCUCGUGGCGCUGGUGCCGAUCUUCUCCUCCGGACGAACGAGGAGCCAGCCGUCCAAGCAGGGCGAGGGAGCCAACGGCGGCCUGCAGCGCUGCCGGCUCGACUCCUUGCAGUAGGCGAUCGCGCUCGCGACGGCCUCCUCCCUCGCCCGGGCGGUGCCGUCCUCGCCGGCGGCGACCCUCCCGUCCGGCUUCGUUGCCCGGCCCUUCCGUCUCCCGUGCCCGUCUGGCCGCUCGUCCGCAGCACCGGCGUGCUGCAGAUUUCUGGCGAACCUGCGCAGGCACCGCCUUAGCGCGUGGCCCUUCCGUGCGGCCGUGUCACCGCCCUCCCUCACCGGUGAGCACGCGUUGUUCGACGAGCUGCUUCGGGCGCCGAGCAAGGAGGAGGAGGUGGACGACCUCGAUGCCGGGGAGGAGCCCGGGUCGGAGGCCACCUUAGCGUCGACAGGGCCGAAUGCCGGCGACGAGGAGCUGCCCUGCUCAACGCUCGAAGCGCCGUCCGUGGUCGCUGCCGUCGCCACGGCCGGCACCAUCGCCGCCCACAUGGCGCACGGGAACAUCCACGCCAUGACGACCUGGAAGAAAUGCAUGGUGAUCAGGAGCACUGGGGUUUGCUUACAGGCCCUUGUGCACGUAGUACGUCCUUGUAUAUAUAUACACGUCGCGAUUGCGAUCGCGUUCGCAUCCGACUCCAGCGGUGGUUGCAGGGGGGGCACGGCGGCGUCUGCGGGCGCGUGAUUUCCGAAAUCCGAGAUGCCACAGCAAGAUUGCCAAAAUCCUGUGGCUAAUCUAUGGAAUACUCCGGCGGUUCCUUCCAUAUACGAAGGGAGUACUAAUUACUGCACGGUUUAAUUACUCGAUCGCUGAUUUAUCGGAUGAGCUAGUAAUGCGGACGGAUCGCUGAUUUAUUACCAUAUUCGAUAUUUCCCGAGUUAUGGCCUUACCAUACGGCCUGGAUUGAUAGCCUUUGGGGUAAUUUAAAUUUAUUACCAUAUAAUUACCAUAUUCAAAAUUUCCUGAGUUAUGACCUUACCAUACCUGGAUUGAUUUAUUACUAUACGUGGAUUAAUUAUGAUUUAUUACUAUAUGAUUUAUUACUAUACGUGGAUAGCCUUACCAUACCUGGUGGUAAUUUAAAUUUAUUACCAUAUUCGAUAUUUCCCGAGUUAUGACCUUACCAUACCUGGAUUGAUAGUCUUUGGGGUAAUUUAAAUUUAUUACCAUAUAAUUACCAUAUUCAAAAUUUCCUGAGUUAUGACCUUACCAUACCUGGAUUGAUUUAUUACUAUACGUGGAUUAAUUAUGAUUGAUUACCAUAAAUACGUUGGGUAUUGCCGGUCAGACGAGAAAAGAGAAAAACCGGUGGGAGGGGCUGGUGGGAGGUGGGACGAAGAAAAACCGAUUGAAAAUAAACCGGUUGAAAAUAAACUGGUUGAAAGUGGGUGGGACUAUUCAACCAAUUCGUCCAUUAGGAGUAGAGAUACUUCCCCAGGACAACAGAACUGCUGGUCGCUCACUUGACUAUACAUUAACGAUGAAGAACUGAAGACAAACUGAUAUGCCACACUAUUUCAGUUGAAUUAUUUGAAAUGAUCUGACACCCGAUUUUAAAAAACAUGUCACCCCAUGUGCAAUAAUUAUCACCGUGAUGAAAUAAGCAUAUAAAGAUUGCGAGAUUCAUCAGAUACAAGUUAAUUAAUCCAAAACAAGAUCAUAGAUGUGGAAUGAUAUGGUAUGGAAGGAGAGACUCGUACGUGCCCAGCUUUGGCUUCAUUGAAGAACGCUUUUAAGUAUGAGAUUUAGCUUGUUGUGACAUCUUCCUGUUGGAAUAAAAUUUGUCACUAUAAAUGUUGAAUUGGCCAUCCAAUGUAAUUGCUUGGUUGUAAUAGCUAAAAUUUUCCACUGUCGCAGUCUUCAUUGACUGAAUAACAAUCAUCGCAUGAGCAUAAGAGCGGAGGUGAUCCCCAUUCUUCUCAUCUAAAAUCUCAAAAUGCAUCUGAUCGCCUUUCAGGUCCAAACUGGGAUCCCAAACUAUGUUGUCCAACCAAGAUCGUACCAACAGUUCCUUGUUCAGAAGAGAGAGGUUGCUUAAACACUUCGCUGUAUUGAUUUCAAUUGUGCCAUUUAUGUUAUUUGGUUCCGCAUGGUCUAAGUCAUUAUUCUCCCGAGGACUGAGGAGUCUCCUUUCUCAAUGGAGGCAACUAUUCUCAAGGGAAUGGUAACUAGCUGAAGCAGGCAUUUUUGUACAGCCAGAAAGGCUCUGUUAUAUUACUCCCUUCAUUCCACAAUGUAGUGCUUCAUCUAUCUCCGUGCUUCAACUUUGACCGUAAAUUUAACUACCAAGAUCGAUUGCGGCGGGAGCAAAAAUUAUAUCAGUGGAUUCAUAUUCGAAAGAAGUUUUCAAUUAUAUAAUUUUUUCUCUCGCCGCAGUUGAUCUCGUUGGUUAAAUUUAUGAUCAAAGUUGGAUCUCGGAAAACGUGGGCGCACUAUAUUUUGAAAUGGAGGGGGUACUUAUUACUGGAGAACCAUGAUUUUUACUCUGGUAGAUCACAACGCCUAGAUAAACAUAAUCCGACCUAUGAGAAAGAGAAACUCAAAACACACACACACACAAUGUAUGGCAUGGCCGUGGCGG
rnacentral:lncRNA from 1 species